CAAAACCAUAUUCCUGCUGCUGUCAGUUAUGAUGCACUGAGAAAACUUCAGAGACCUAAGCUUUUUCCAGAGAAGAGAAGCUUUACUGGUGUUCCAGCCCUAAGAAACUUAAAUCCUCAGUGUGACACAACUCAGUCCUUCUACUGCAGCAGCUCUUUUAUAAAAGCCUCCCAAAGCUCCAAGAAGGAACAAAGAAUGUGACCCAGUAAGCUCACACCAUAAGUCUAUAUUGCAGAAACCUUUGUUCAACAAAACUGCAGAUACUCUGUUGAAUCCACUGGAGAUUGUCCUCAUACUAAGGACAAGUAUCAACCAUCUUUCCUGUGAAAAAUUCCCUCUCCUAGUACUUUAGUUCUGUGGAUCCAAAAUUUAUAGCAUUCUUCUACCACCACAGGGGCUCAUAUGACAUUAACAGACAAGACACUUUUCAGAAAGACAGGUUGUUCUUUUGGGCCACAUCUAAGAAAUCUUUGUCUAGCCAAAAGCCACAAAUAAUUUCUCAUUUUUUGGCUUCUGGAAGAUGUACAGUUAAAUGUUAUAUUUGGGACUGUUAUCUAAUUUGAUUAAAUUGCAC
rnacentral:lncRNA from 1 species